GACGAACGCUGGCGGCGUGCUUAACACAUGCAAGUCGAACGAUGAACCCGGAGCUUGCUCUGGGGGAUUAGUGGCGAACGGGUGAGUAACACGUGAGUAACCUGCCCUGGACUCUGGGAUAAGCGUUGGAAACGACGUCUAAUACCGGAUAGGACCUUGGAUCGCAUGAUCUGGGGUGGAAAGUUUUUUCGGUCUGGGAUGGACUCGCGGCCUAUCAGCUUGUUGGUGAGGUAAUGGCUCACCAAGGCGUCGACGGGUAGCCGGCCUGAGAGGGUGACCGGCCACACUGGGUCUGAGACACGGCCCAGACUGCUACGGGAGGGAGCAAGGGGGAAUAUUGCACAAUGGGCGAAAGCCUGAUGCAGCAACGCCGCGUGCGGGAUGACGGCCGUCGGGUUGUAAACCGCUUUUAGUAGGGAAGAAGGGCUUCGGCUUGACGGUACCUGCAGAAAAAGGACCGGCUAACUACGUG
rnacentral:rRNA from 1 species